rnacentral:tRNA from 1 species
GAGAGGUGGCUGAGUGGUUGAAGGCACCGGUUUCGAAAACCGGCAUGGGGGAAACUCCAUCGAGGGUUCGAAUCCCUCCCUCUCC